rnacentral:rRNA from 1 species
GAGCAGUGGGGAAUUUUGGACAAUGGGGGCAACCCUGAUCCAGCAAUGCCGCGUGUGUGAAGAAGGCCUUCGGGUUGUAAAGCACUUUUGUCCGGGAAGAAAUCGCACCUGAUAAUACCGGGUGUGGAUGACGGUACCGGAAGAAUAAGGACCGGCUAACUACGUGCCAGCAGCCGCGGUAAUACGUAGGGUCCAAGCGUUAAUCGGAAUUACUGGGCGUAAAGCGUGCGCAGGCGGUUGUGCAAGACCGAUGUGAAAUCCCCGGGCUUAACCUGGGAAUUGCAUUGGUGACUGCACGGCUAGAGUGUGUCAGAGGGGGGUAGAAUUCCACGUGUAGCAGUGAAAUGCGUAGAGAUGUGGAGGAAUACCGAUGGCGAAGGCAGCCCCCUGGGAUAACACUGACGCUCAUGCACGAAAGCGUGGGGAGCAAACAGGAUUAGAUACCCUGGUAGUCCACGCCCUAAACGAUGUCAACUAGUUGUUGGGGAUUCAUUUCCUUAGUAACGUAGCUAACGCGUGAAGUUGACCGCCUGGGGAGUACGGUCGCAAGAUUAAAACUCACAUGAUUGAACC